AGCUAGAUUAAAGAAAAAGUUAUGAGAUAGAGUAUUUUAUUUUUUUUUUUUUGAAAAGAAGGCAUCAGGGUCCAUAAUCUAUAGGGUGUGUUUGGUUCGCAUUAUGAAAGAUUACUAGGAAUGAAAAGAUGUCCGAGAAUCUUAUUCCUAUUCAUCCUAUUACUAAGAAUGUGGAAUUCAUGUGUUUGGUUCACACGGUCAUAUUAUUUAGCCAUGUUAUUUAAGAUUACAAAAAAUAUACAAUUAAUUUAUUUAUUUUUUAAAUUAAUUUUAGAUAAUCUAUCAAAAAUUUCAACAUUUUUUUAGAAAAAAAGAAGAGAGAGCAUAGGUUAGAAAGAGAGAGCAUAAUUAAAAAAAAUAGUAAGAAAAAUAGAGUCGAAAUUAGAGGGAGUGAGAGAGUUGAGAUUUUAGAAAAAGAGGGAGAGAGAAAGCUUAGUUUAGAGAGAGAAAAAGAGUUAAAUUUUAGAGAGAAAGAUAAGUUUAGAGAGAGAUGUGAGGUUAUAGUGUAAAGAAAAAUAAUACCAAUUAGCCGACAGGUAGAGAGAAAGAAAGAGAUUAGACAUAUUAUGAUUACCCCAAUUCAUAUUAUAGGAUACCCACCCUUACUAAAGGGAAUGAGAUUAGUACUUUGGAUGAAUCUUAUUUCCAAGUAAAUCCAAUAUUACCAACUAGAUUACUUAGUGCGUUUAGUCAAACACCGUCAUAUUUUUUUAUUCCUAUUGGAUUACUAGAAAUCUUUAAAAGAUAGCACGAACCAAACGCACCCAUAUGUUCAUGUCAAAUAGGGUAAUUAUUAUUAUUAUAUUUUGUAGUC
rnacentral:lncRNA from 1 species